rnacentral:rRNA from 1 species
UUAAUCGACGCAGGGUUAGUCGGUUCCUAAGGCGAGGCUGAAAAGCGUAGUCGAUGGGAAACAGGUUAAUAUUCCUGUACUUCUGGUUACUGCGAUGGAGGGACGGAGAAGGCUAGGCCAGCUUGGCGUUGGUUGUCCAAGUUUAAGGUGGUAGGCUGAAAUCUUAGGUAAAUCCGGGGUUUCAAGGCCGAGAGCUGAUGACGAGUCGUCUUUUAGAUGACGAAGUGGUUGAUGCCAUGCUUCCAAGAAAAGCUUCUAAGCUUCAGGUAACCAGGAACCGUACCCCAAACCGACACAGGUGGUCGGGUAGAGAAUACCAAGGCGCUUGAGAGAACUCGGGUGAAGGAACUAGGCAAAAUGGCACCGUAACUUCGGGAGAAGGUGCGCCGGCUAGAGUGAAGGAUUUACUCCGUAAGCUCUGGCUGGUCGAAGAUACCAGGCCGCUGCGACUGUUUAUUAAAAACACAGCACUCUGCAAACACGAAAGUGGACGUAUAGGGUGUGACGCCUGCCCGGUGCCGGAAGGUUAAUUGAUGGGGUUAGCGCAAGCGAAGCUCUUGAUCGAAGCCCCGGUAAACGGCGGCCGUAACUAUAACGGUCCUAAGGUAGCGAAAUUCCUUGUCGGGUAAGUUCCGACCUGCACGAAUGGCGUAACGAUGGCGGCGCUGUCUCCACCCGAGACUCAGUGAAAUUGAAAUCGCUGUGAAGAUGCAGUGUAUCCGCGGCUAGACGGAAAGACCCCGUGAACCUUUACUGUAGCUUUGCACUGGACUUUGAGCCUGCUUGUGUAGGAUAGGUGGGAGGCUUUGAAGCGUGGACGCCAGUUCGCGUGGAGCCAUCCUUGAAAUACCACCCUGGCAUGCUUGAGGUUCUAACUCUGGUCCGUGAUCCGGAUCGAGGACAGUGUAUGGUGGGCAGUUUGACUGGGGCGGUCUCCUCCUAAAGAGUAACGGAGGAGUACGAAGGUGCGCUCAGACCGGUCGGAAAUCGGUCGCAGAGUAUAAAGGCAAAAGCGCGCUUGACUGCGAGACAGACACGUCGAGCAGGUACGAAAGUAGGUCUUAGUGAUCCGGUGGUUCUGUAUGGAAGGGCCAUCGCUCAACGGAUAAAAGGUACUCCGGGGAUAACAGGCUGAUACCGCCCAAGAGUUCAUAUCGACGGCGGUGUUUGGCACCUCGAUGUCGGCUCAUCACAUCCUGGGGCUGAAGCCGGUCCCAAGGGUAUGGCUGUUCGCCAUUUAAAGUGGUACGCGAGCUGGGUUUAGAACGUCGUGAGACAGUUCGGUCCCUAUCUGCCGUGGACGUUUGAGAUUUGAGAGGGGCUGCUCCUAGUACGAGAGGACCGGAGUGGACGAACCUCUGGUGUUCCGGUUGUCACGCCAGUGGCAUUGCCGGGUAGCUAUGUUCGGAAAAGAUAACCGCUGAAAGCAUCUAAGCGGGAAACUUGCCUCAAGAUGAGAUCUCACUGGGAACUUGAUUCCCCUGAAGGGCCGUCGAAGACUACGACGUUGAUAGGCUGGGUGUGUAAGCGUUGU